rnacentral:rRNA from 1 species
GACGAACGCUGGCGGCGUGCUUAACACAUGCAAGUCGAACGGAAAGGCCCUGCUUUUGUGGGGUGCUCUAGUGGCGAACGGGUGAGUAACACGUGAGUAACCUGCCCUUGACUUUGGGAUAACUUCAGGAAACUGGGGCUAAUACCGGAUAGGAGCUCCUGCUGCAUGGUGGGGGUUGGAAAGUUUCGGCGGUUGGGGAUGGACUCGCGGCUUAUCAGCUUGUUGGUGGGGUAGUGGCUUACCAAGGCUUUGACGGGUAGCCGGCCUGACAGGGUGACCGGCCACAUUGGGACUGAGAUACGGCCCAGACUCCUACGGGAGGCAGCAGUGGGGAAUAUUGCACAAUGGGCGGAAGCCUGAUGCAGCAACGCCGCGUGCGGGAUGACGGCCUUCGGGUUGUAAACCGCUUUCGCCUGUGACGAAGCGUGAGUGACGGUAAUGGGUAAAGAAGCACCGGCUAACUACGUG